AAAGUCUUAAGUUAAUAUAAACUAUAAACCUUCAAAGUUUAAAAUGCAAUGAUGUAGACUUUA
rnacentral:tRNA from 1 species